GAUGAACGCUAGCGGCAGGCCUAACACAUGCAAGUCGAGGGAGGAGCCUUCGGGCUUCGACCGGCGUACGGGUGCGUAACGCGUAUACAAUCUGCCUUUCACAUAGGGAUGGACCGAAGAAAUUUGGAUUAAUACCUAAUGGUAUAUAGAUGUGGCAUCACCUUUAUAUUAAAGCUGAGGCGGUGAAAGAUGAGUAUGCGUUCUAUUAGCUAGUUGGAGAGGUAACGGCUCCCCAAGGCGACGAUAGAUAGGGGUUCUGAGAGGGAUAUCCCCCACACUGGUACUGAGAUACGGACCAGACUCCUACGGGAGGCAGCAGUGAGGAAUAUUGGACAAUGGUCGGAAGACUGAUCCAGCCAUGCCGCGUGCAGGAAGACGGCCUUAUGGGUUGUAAACUGCUUUUGCAGGGGAAGAAUAAGGACUACGCGUAGUUUGAUGACGGUACUCUGCGAAUAAGCAUCGGCUAACUCCGUG
rnacentral:rRNA from 1 species